AUUGAACGCUGGCGGAAUGCUUUACACAUGCAAGUCGAACGGCAGCACGGACUUCGGUCUGGUGGCGAGUGGCGAACGGGUGAGUAAUACAUCGGAACGUGCCCAGUCGUGGGGGAUAACGUAGCGAAAGCUACGCUAAUACCGCAUACGAUCUAAGGAUGAAAGCGGGGGAUCGCAAGACCUCGCGCGAUUGGAGCGGCCGAUGGCAGAUUAGGUAGUUGGUAGGGUAAAGGCCUACCAAGCCGACGAUCUGUAGCUGGUCUGAGAGGAUGAUCAGCCACACUGGGACUGAGACACGGCCCAGACUCCUACGGGAGGCAGCAGUGGGGAAUUUUGGACAAUGGGCGAAAGCCUGAUGCAGCCAUGCCGCGUGCAGGAUGAAGGCCUUCGGGUUGUAAACUGCUUUUGUACGGAGCGAAAAGGUUUGGCCUAAUAAGCUGAGCUCAUGACGGUACCGUAAGAAUAAGCACCGGCUAACUACGUGCCAGCCGCCGCCGUAA
rnacentral:rRNA from 1 species